AAUGGGCGAAAGCCUGACCCAGCAACGCCGCGUGAGGGAAGAAGGUUUUCGGAUCGUAAACCUCUGUACUUGGGGACGAAAGAAAUGACGGUACCCAAGGAGGAAGCCCCGGCUAACUACGUGCCAGCAGCCGCGGUAAUACGUAGGGGGCGAGCGUUGUCCGGAAUGAUUGGGCGUAAAGGGCGCGUAGGCGGCCUGUUAAGUCUGGAGUGAAAUUCCUGCUUUCAAGGUAGGAAGUGCUUUGGAAACUGGCGGGCUGGAGUGCAGGAGAGGUUAGCGGAAUCCCCGGUGUAGCGGUGAAAUGCGUAGAGAUCGGGAGGAACACCAGUGGCGAAGGCGGCUAACUGGACUGUAACUGACGCUGAGGCGCGAAAGUGUGGGGAGCAAA
rnacentral:rRNA from 1 species